rnacentral:tRNA from 1 species
AUUUUAGUAGCUUAAAGUUGAGAGUAGAGCAUUGAAGGUGCUAAGGUAGUGAGAUACUCUAAAAUG